rnacentral:tRNA from 1 species
AGGGGUGUAGCUCAGUUGGUAAAGCGUGUGCUGAGCAUGCACAAGGUACUUGGUUCGAUUCCCAGUACCUCCA